UCCAAUCUGACCAUCCCCAGCCAUGUACUGACACAGCCCCUUGGGCGUGCUCGGCAGGCCCCAUGUUUAUCUCUGACUCAGUGACACACAGAGACUGGCCAAUUCCUAAUGCACGCUGGCUCCCCGGUUGCAAACAACACACAAGCUAAUCCUAGACUCCACAAGACACUGAUCCCCAAGCCCCAAAAGGUGCUUGUCGCCAGCUUUCCAACCGCACAUUGACCCCGAUCCCAACGGCUGUCUGCCAUUCCCAGCCGAAGCCUUACAUGGGCUCCCACCAUUCAGUGAAAACCACUGGCAUGGCCGCCGCAGGCUGAACACUCACCCCAUGAACCUCAACCAAACAAUGACCUCAGUUCCAGCUACCCCAUGGCCGGGCAUUCCGAUUACGAAACAAGGCUACGCCCACAGCUGCAGACCUUUACUCUCGGCAACCCUAACCAAAGGCUGAGCCACCAAAACUAACUUCAGGGAGACCUGCCUCACUCACAGGCCCUUACGCCUCAUCUGUAUCCAUACCAUCAGCCCAUGCCGCUCACGAGAAGGACCCUACCUCUCCUUACAUGGAUCCUCAAACUUGAUUAUACUUUGCCCCUUAGCCCAUGUAUUUCAAAAACAUUAUGAUGACACAAAGCAAGUUACCUGUCCCAAUUCGUUUCAGCUUUCUUAACCCCAAACCAGGCGUCACCUGGAAGAAGGCGCCCCAGCUAAAGAAUUGCUACACUCAGAUGGACCGAUGGCCAUGUCUGAAUGUUUUACCUGCAUCUAUGUCCGUGUACUACAUUCAUGCCUGAUGCCUGCAGGGAUCAGAAGAGGAUUCUGAUCUCCUCAGAUUCUCUAGGAGUGGAGUCACAGACAAUUGUGAGCUAUCACAUGGGUACUGGCAAUCAAACCUGGUCCUCUGCAACAGUGACAAGGGCUCUCAACCACCAGCCAAGUCUCCAGAGCCUGUGCUGUUUGAAAUGACUGGGGAUUUUCAAGGCUUUCUGCAGUGCGCAGACACGAUGUCCAAGGGGCACAACUUCUGUGAUAGGGCAAUCCCAAGCAUCAUCCCUGCUUCGUCAGACACCGCACCUGGUGCUGAACCAAAUUUCCUGUUUGUAGGAAACAAGCAGGAGGAGGAGAGGAAGGGAAGAUUAACCAAAUUGGGCUCUGAAUUGCUAACACGCCAACUCUUGUGCUA